rnacentral:lncRNA from 1 species
UCUACAUUCCGUGGCAGCCUGGCUCCAACAUCCCAGGGAAUUGUGUCACUCCCAUUGAGCAGCUGUGGGGCCCUCUCCCACAUGGCCCAGGUCCACCACUCUGUCAAAGGUCGCACAGCCCAGACAAAAACAGGACACAGCAGUGUGUGAAUGAGCCGGGCUUUCUCCUUCCCUCCACGUAAUAGAAGGUGCCUGAGGUUGUUGAAACACAGUCCAUUUCUCCUGGGAAUGACAAGAAUUUGAGGGAUGCUGACUUUCAAGGAAUACUGCAUGACAGGCAUCAAGAUAAACCUGAUGAAGAAAACAUAGGCCAGAAUCUGGGAAUCGGGAGCAAAGUAAUACAGCUUCGGGGACAGGCACGUAAUGAGGUCAUGAUGUAGGAGACUCCCUGCAGGACUGGCGGCCCCUGUUCCCUGGGUUGUUCUGGCUCUUUCAGAUUUAUAUGUUAACAAGCUGAAUUCCUGCUUCAUCUGGAGGACUGCACAGUGUAUCUGAGAGAGGAUUUUCAGGAGGCCAGAAAAUCAAGCUGGAGGGAUUUUCAGCGUGUUGGGAGAUUGCUACCUGUUUUAAGUCAGGCCAUUGCCACGUCUUUUUCCCCACCUUGGAGACUUCAGCAAAUUGCUCAAAUGUCGGUGUGCUCUCAUGAACAGAAACGAUGGCACGGUGGGUCCUGGUCUCAAGACUUCCUCUCAAUGAUUCAGAGGUCUUGGGGGUUUUUUGUCUGAAUAUCAGGCAAAGAGGAAGGACGGCUACAAUGGAGGAGUCUCCUACCACGCUUGUGGUCGUCACUGUAGUGCUCAGUUGAAUGGUGUGUCCAUUGGGGUUGGAGUCCCCAUCCUGUUCUGGGUCCUGGCCCCCCACAGGCUCCAGGGACAUAACCCUUCCAGUUCAGGAUCAUGUGCUGGGGCACUGUUCCCUGAGGUGGGACUCUGGGCUGUAACAGCUGCUUUUGAAGCAUGUUCCAGCUUCAACCACGUGCUUGGACGACACCAGCUCUUCCCACAUACUCUUCCCCAGCUCUUGUGUUGAGUUUGGCUUCCACCUUCCUCCAGCUGGGUCUCGCUAUGUUGCCCAAGCCAUUCUGGAGCUCCUGCGCUUAAGUGAUCCUCCUGCCUCAGCCUCCCAAGUAACUGGAAUUAUAAAUGUGAGCCACUGUGCCCAGCAAUUACAAAAUUUUUGGAAUGCAAUUGGGAAGUACAGCUGAAAAACUUCAGCAACGUGGGCUGUUUGAUUGUACAAUCGCACUUCUUGGAAUUUAUCCUACAGAAAUCAGUAGUCAAGUUCACAAAAACUGACAAUAGCCAUUACAGAGAAGCAGAAGAAAGGGAAAUAAAAACAUUCAAACCUACCAACAGGAGAUUGGACAAAUAAAUCAUGUUAUAACUAUACAAUGGGCUAUUAUGUAACCAUUAAAAUGAUCAUCUAUUCUAGAUCUAUACUUAUUGCAAUAUAAUAAUAACCAUAAUAUAUAGUUAUUUGAUAAAAGAAGGUAGCACAUGUGAGGUAGUACAUCUCAUUUCUAUUAGAAAAAACUACACACAAACACAAACAUCGAAGAAAGGGAUCUGGGAAGAGAAGACAAGAAGCUCCCGGUGCAUUGCUCGGGAGAAACACAACCUAUGCCGUCAGUAACUAAUUCCCAGGGCGACAUCAUUGGC